GUGAAAACUGACAAACCGACGAAGAGAAGAACGCGGGAGGGAAGGACAGGUUGUCUUGUUCAGCACGUAGAGGCGUGACGAGCGAAGACAUAAACCUGCCGGUCAUGAAGGAAGGCGACUGGUUGUUAUUCGAGUGAUCUUGAUGUUCGACCAUGCCGAAAUUAGGAACUCUGUGAGAUGACAUACCGACCAUUGGGUUGAACAUAUGGAACAGAAGAUUUGUCUCGUGCGUCAUACAAGUCUCGCCACCCUGUUCUGCGACCGCUACGAAAAAUGAGGAAUGCAACGGUCCGUCUGGAGUAGGAGGUGACGAGCGGCGUCCCAUAAAUCCUGAAACUCGUCCCGACUCUGGCCGAAGUCUGUGAGUUCUUGACAGAGAACAGACUGUCAUAGCACAGUGCACGAGGAUCGAAGCUGUCAAUCGACGUGGCAACGUUCUCAUAACAGAAUGUACCUCCGGAGCAGCUCCACCUAUCACGCAACUCCGCCUAUAAUGCGAGGACAAUUCAGUUUCUCG